GCAGGAAAAUUAGAAGAGAAUGACCUCUUUAUGUGUGCCAGCAGCUUUUUUUUCGUCCGCUCGAUGCAAGAGGCAUCUCCGUUCUCUUCACUUGAGCACACAAUUUCAUUCGCUAGAGAUCUAUGGUUCACCAAAUCGCCUAUUAGAGCAUGGUUGGAUGCAUUCUCCGCACACAGUCACAUAGGUACAGUUAUUAGUAGGGCGCCUACUGAACUAAUUUCGGUACGUAUCCAAACUGACUGACCAAUCAAGGGUUCUAUAACCAUAACCAUAAGACAAAGCCAACUAUCUGAUGAUUUAUACUACUCUGAACGUUGUAGGAUUUGUGUCAAUUCGGAGCAAAGUAUCGAAAGAAAUUUGGCUUCGAAUUCUUAACAACUACAAAUGCUAGACAUUCCCAUAAAAUACUGGAGGAGAUCAAGGCUCGAUGCGAGAACAAUCUCUUGGUUGAACUGGAUAUUGCGGCUCGAGAGAAAUUCUAUUUCAUAGAAGAAGGACUCACAAAAAUCUGGGAACGAAUAUCUCAAGAAGAGCUUCAAGAGAAAUCAGAAGAUUUAGGGGAGAUAGUUCCAGACUCACUGGAAGAAGAACUCGUGCCCAGCAACAGUUCCGACGAGGAGGUUUGGAUCGAUGACAAGGCUACCAUGAGAAAUUAUGAUCUCAAUAAAACACCAGACGAGAACCAGAUAGAAUGAUCCAGCUCUCACCUGAUUUCUUCUGAUGGUGUUUUUGUCAAAUAAUAUGACUCAUUAUUAGCUUAUUUGCAUCCUAGUAAUGUUUUCGUUGUUAUGUCUAGUUGUUUUUGUGUUUUUGCACAGAGUUCAACAUAGAUUCAUUUCAAACACAAAGAU